GCGGGCAUGGCGGAAUUGGUAGACGCACCAGAUUUAGGAUCUGGCGGGAAACCUUGCAGGUUCGAGUCCUGUUGCCCGCACCA
rnacentral:tRNA from 1 species